GAUGAAGAACGUAGCGAAAUGCGAUAAGUAAUGUGAAUUGCAGAAUUCAGUGAAUCAUCGAAUCUUUGAACGCACAUUGCGCCCCCUGGUAUCCCGGGGGGCAUGCCUGUUCGAGCGUCAUUUCACCACUCAAGCCUCGCUUGGUAUUGGGCAACGCGGUCCGCCGCGUGCCUCAAAUCGACCGGCUGGGUCUUCUGUCCCCUAAGCGUUGUGGAAACUAUUCGCUAAAGGGUGUUCGGGAGGCUACGCCGUAAAACAACCCCAUUUCUAAGGUUGACCUCGGAUCAGGUAGGGAUACCCGCUGAACUUAAGCAUAUCAAUAAGCGGAGGA
rnacentral:misc_RNA from 1 species